AAUUAGAUCCAACGAACCGGAAGUGAUCACCCAAAAAGUGUUCGAACACCCUAACCCCCCAAUCAUCUCCCUCAUCUCGUCUCUUCAGAAAACCCUAGAGCCACCCCUAAAUCCUCAUCAAUUCCAGUGGUGGCAGUACCUCCAAACACCACCAAAACUAUACCCUAGAACCCCCUCGGCCCCUUGUUCCAAAUCCCCAUUUUGUUUCCAUCAAAUCCCCCAGAGCUUAUCGAAUAUCGAAUUAAAGGAUGAAUCCUAAAAAUUCAAAGUCAUUUUCUAUGAAAUUUUGAGGCAUGCAUGGUCAUAGGAUGAGGUUUCUUAGAGUUUUGAAGGACAAACUCAACAAGAUUGAUGUCGUUCAGAUUGUUCUUAACAUAGAACAAUUGACCGACAUUAAUUUCAUUGGUCCUUUGCCUUCGUCUAGUUUCGAGGCUCAAUUUGGUAAGUUCCUUUCCCCUUUCAAUUGUUCUUUUGUCCAUUGGCAUAUUAUCCUCUCUUUUCUUUUUCUUCUCCAUUAGCCUUUUAGAAAAAACAAAAACGGCUGAAAAAUCUCACGAACUCACUGUUUCAUUCAGUUUCUUCUGUUAUUCUGGAGUUGUCAAUUUCUGAAAUAAUUCAUGGCUCAUCUGGGGUAAAAAUGGACUAAAAUUGUAAGUCUGGUUUGAAGUUUGAUAUGGUAUUUGCUUGAUUGAAAGUUGUCUUUGGACUAUUGCACAUUAUUUUCUGUUUGAAAUUGGUUGAAUCUGGGCUGACUGUUGCCAUUGCUUACUGCUGAUACUUUUUUUUUGGUUUUGUUUCCUUUGAUCAUUAUCAGGUAACAUCUCAAACUGUGGACAACAAUUGAUUGCAAGCAUGUGUUUUGAGUGGAAAGUUGGUUGAAUCCAGUUGUAAUCGAAUCUAUCUUUUUUGCUUCCUCUUUUCUUUCAACAUUCUAUAGUAUGAAUUGUAAUAUAUUUGGUACUGAAGUUUUCUGCUCAUUCAUGUACCACAAAGAGAGUAGGUGCUUUUGAGAACAAAAUGUGCUCCAAUCCAAGGUCUAGCUUAAAUGGGUUACAUUUUGUUACAUGUGUUUGGAUGGUAAAGAGAUCUGGUCGUUAGUUACACAUUGUUUCAGUUUUUGCUUUUGGUGUUUAUAUACUUAAAAGAGUGAAUUUAUGGUAAUUUUGAUCCAAAUAAUUAGCAUGCUGUUUUUUUUUUUGAGUUGGCUGAUGUCAGUAUUAGUCAUUGGUUUGAUUUUUCAUAAGGUAUUUGUAAGUUCAAUUCUAAUUUCAAUCCAACAUAGAUA
rnacentral:lncRNA from 1 species